rnacentral:rRNA from 1 species
UACGGGGGGGGUUAGUGUUAUUCAUCGUUACUGGGUGUAAAGCGCGCGUGGACUGUUUAAGAAGUUCUAGUUAAAAUAAUCUAAGCGUAACUUAGAAGUUAACUUUUAUACUCUUAUAACUUGAGGUUAAAAGAAGGAAGCUAUACUUCUCAGAGAAAUGUGAAAUUUGUCCGAACUGAGGGGGAUAACCAGCAGGCAAAAAGCGGCUUCCUAUUAUAAUUCUGACGUUUAGGCGCAAAAGCCUGGGGAUCAAACGGG